CUAGACAGUCAGAUAGCUGCGCGUUGAUAAUGGGGAAACCCCUCAACGUGAGGAAAGUCCGGGCUCCACGGGAAUACGGUGCCGGUUAACGGCCGGCGGGGGUAACCCCAGGGAAAGUGCCACAGAAAGAAAACCGCCCAUAUGAGCAAUAUCGCAAAUAUGGGUAAGGGUGAAAGGGUGCGGUAAGAGCGCACCGCGUUGUCGGUAACGAUAGCGGCUUGGUAAACCCCACCGGGAGCAAGACCGAGUAGAGGUGGCUUAUAGUGUAUUUCCGCACUGCUACCUGGGUGGGUCGCAUGAGACGCAUGGCAACAUGCGUCCUAGAUGAAUAGCUAUCUCCAGCACGGGUAAGACCGCGUUGGGACAGAACCCGGCUUAUAGACUGUCUGGCUCU
rnacentral:RNase_P_RNA from 1 species